rnacentral:ncRNA from 12 species
CCCUUGGAGUAUCACACCAACUCAAGUACUUUGUAAAAAGGAAAGAGGAUACGUUGAAUGGGGAA